GUAUAUACUUUCCUGGAUCCUUUUAUAUGUGCCUCCCCUCUAAGGAGAGUAAGAAACCAAAAUCCUAGCCUCCUUCAAAACCACAGAUCCUUUAAUGAUACGGAUUAAAUAAUAGCAGGAUCAUCAACCCCAAACCAUAUCACCAUGAUGAUCUUUCCUCUCAAUGUUAUGAAAUCUUUGCUUGGCUUCCAUCACUUGAGAAUGAAUCGCAACAUUUUCCGUUUUUAACCAUAUCCUAAUUGCUACCAAGUGAUUUUUAUUCCCCAUCCUCUAGAUCCUAUUCGCAGAAACCUAAUCCCAUUUUUCGCAUUCUUCAAUUUUUACUUUUUUAAUUUCUCUGUGAAAUUAAGUAGAAAACAGUAAAUAUAGGGCUUUGAAUCAAAAUAAGAGAAGAAGGGAAGUGGUGGCACAGAUUGAUUGGUACUAUGGAGGAUGAUAUAUUUUCCUAAUAUAAAGACACUGCCAGACUUUCUUCCUCUUUUGUAUCCAAAGAAAGUUAGCUCACAAAGCAGUCAACUCGGCUAUCUAGUGUAGAUGAAGUUUUAUUUGCAGAAAGGUACCAAGGUGACGAGUCAAUGGAUUUGAAUGAGGUUAACUGUAACAGUGAUGAUGAAGACCUGCCAGAACCAGUUAUUGAUUGCGAUGACGAGAUUAGGGUGACUGGUCAAAUCCAAUCAACGCUCGCAUCAACAGUUGAGUCCAAAGAAUUUGUUGUAGAAACUUGGAGGAUAAAUGGUGAAUAUAAGAUGGCUGAAAAGAUUGACGCAGUUGAAAAGUUAUUUGUUGGCCAAGAAUGGUUAAAUUAUGAACAAUGCACUGAUUAUUUGAAGAACCUAACCAGAGACAUGAACUGAAGUGAAGAACAUCAGGAAGAAGCAGCAUAUUUGAUGAUUGUCUGUGGAAAAUUUAUUGUGCUGUGCUCCCCAAUGGCCAAACUAUACAAUACAAAUCUGGUCACUUCUUUCAUACUUGUGAAUCAUUUCAUGGGCUGAAUCAUCCUUCGGCAAAUGCAAAAUGGGUAGCAAAAGUUAUGUUGGAGCGCUUUAAAGCUCAUCUCUUACUACAAGCCUAAGGAUUUCAUGACCGAGGUAAAAAGAUGCCAUAAAGUUGACAUUUCAUACUAUUCUGCAUGGCAUGGGUAUCAUUUAAUUUUGGAAAAGAUAUUCGGUAGUUAUGAGGUUGGAUAUAAUAUAAGAUGAUUCCUGCACUAUGUCCGAGGUUUUUGAUGAGAAUCCUAGGAAUAUUGCUUACUACAAGACAGAUGAUAACGGGAGGUUAAAGUCACUCUGCAUUGUCCAUCUAGGAUUAGAUGGAACUCAUAUAAAAGGUAAAUAUGGUGGUACAUUGUUGGCGGUUCUGGGACUUGAUGCAAAUAAUGGUUUACUCCCCUUUGCUGUUUACAAUUGUCAGUCAGAAAGCGGUUCUCAGUAUAUUUGCACCAGAGCUAAAGCAACAUAAAAGGGCACUGAUACUUAACAUUCGUAAGUGACAGACAAAAGGGAUUAGUAGAAGGUAUUGCUAGAAAUUUUGGAGAUGUGAAUCACUAUCAUGGAAAGAGCAUAGAAUUCAUAGCAUGGAGGGCAGCAAGGUCUUACAAGAUUUGGAUGGAAAGAUUGGGAGAAGCCAAGGCAUCUGCAGCAGAGUGGUUUAUUGACAAACCAGUUGAGCAGUGGUCCCUUAUUUGAUAAGUUCACAAAUCAGCCAUCUUCUGAGUUUAUAAAUAGCAGCCCCGCAAAAUAUAAAUAUUUGUAAUUGUAAAUGUAUAAUAAACAUCCUAACACAAAACCAUAAGAUCUAUAGGAAACUUAGAAUCUGUCGACAUAAUAAAAGGAAACUAAAUAAGAUGAAUAGAUGGUGAUCAGAUAAGAGAAGAAGCAGAGUUUGAAGAGUAGAAGAUGAUGAGACAGAAGAGAAAGAAAGAGGACGAAGAAGGAAGGCAAAUAAUAGGAGAAGAAGACGAGUGGUUUAUUUUUUUUAUUUAUUUUUGAGUUGAAAAACAGCCUCCGGAGCCUGUGAGCUUCAAUAUUUUUUUUUUUUGUUGCAAAGCGCCCUUCACAAAGCAUUUUGGGGCUGAGGCGCCAAAAAGUGUGAUCUGAUAUCGCCCCAGAAUGCUUUUUAAAGCCCGUUUCACAAAGCAUUUUGGUGUUGGAACGCAAAAAUGUGUGCCGUGAUUCUUGCCCCAGGCCAUAACCCUUUAAACACGCCAACUGGAAAUCAAU